rnacentral:lncRNA from 1 species
UAUAAACAUAUAUGAUUCCAACAAGUCACAUAGAAGAAAGAAAUUUUAGUUAUCAGUAACAAGUAUAUAAGUUUUAAAAUCACUAUUUCCAGUAAAUGUUGUUUACGCUUAUAUUAGCCUGAUUGAUUCAUAAGACAAACACGGUGCCACAGUUGAAUCUGAGCUGGUCAUACUAUGACAUGUUUUAAAACGACUAACACACAUUCCUACCUCCAUGCUUUCACAAAGGCACAUUGACACCUACAAACUCCUGUACAUAUGCAUGUAUAAACAUGCACAUACACACACAUACACACACAUACACAUACAAGCAUUGAGAACCUGACAUGUGCACUAAGGUGUGGGUGUUCAUGUUCUCAUUAUUAGUAUCUCAAAAAACAGGUCUUCAAUAACAUGGCUUGAUACCCCAACUCUGGUCCCUGCCACAUAUUUAUACACUAACUGUUUUUCUCUAUAACAUGAGUGGACAAUCAGUGAUGUCAUACCAUGCGACGCAUCACAUGGACAAAAAAUGCAGUACACCUUUAAACUGGUAACCAGGAAAUACAGUAAUUAUUUUAUGUCAUUGUUACAUGAAGCCGAAAUACUGAGUUUAGCGAGGGAAAAUUAUAAAUGUAUAUAAACACAAAUAUUGUUUCUAUAUUUAUUCUUCCGUAAUUGAGAAAAUACGUUUGUAGGAUUAAUUACUCUAGCAACCACAUGAUUCAAUGGUGUCGUGAACGACAGAUUCAUACAGACAAUGUUUUGCAUUCGAUUUAUAUUAGAAGUUUGACUGUAUAUGAUUAUACUACUCACAACCAACUACAUACACGUGCGUGCGGGAGUGCUUAUGUAUGUAUAUACAUGCAAUGCUUCGUGUAAAUGUAAGCGAAUGUUUGUUAUACAUGUGAAUCCAUGUGAUUUAAUAUCCCCAAGUGAAUGAACAAUUCCGUCCAAAAGAUCUAUAGAAAGACUCAAAAAUAAUAUACAACUGGCUCAGCUAUGAACGCUGGUAGCUCUUCUGUAAUGGGAGGUGGUGGUGGAGGUGGAAGAAGUGGCAGGAAAUGGAGAGUGCCUGAAGAUGAUACUUUGCAAAUUGUGGAUCCAAGGCGGGGCAAGGGUAAGAUGCAGAGAUCUGAUGUUUAUCCAGGACGCAGACAACAAAUCCAAAAGAAUGAAACAGGUUGAUAUCACAGGUGCUUGAAUGCUUGGAAUAAAUGUCUCUAUAUUAAAAUAAAGCUAAUUCUUAUCUUAUAUCGUUUAAACGAUUAC